rnacentral:misc_RNA from 1 species
UGUAGGAGUGAGCCUGCUCGCGAUGGCGUCGUGUCAGUCGACAUUUCUCUCAACUGACGGAACGCUAUCGCGAGCAGGCUCACUCCUACA